UGGAUCGUAAAAGUAUUAGUUAAUUAUUUUGAAAUUAACUAAAACUCACACUAUAACAGAAUUAGAUUAUAGGGACACAUAUUUAGGACACUUUUAUAUAAGUGUCCUAUUUAUACCAAAACUUUAAAAAAAAUCUGCUAAUGGCUAAGUAUAAAGUCCAAUCGAAUAAAAAAUAAAAGGUUACUCUACUCAACCCACACCAUCCAGCCUAUUCGUCUCGAUUACAAAUAGAAAAGAAAAAAAAGAAAAGAAAAAUCGAUUACCAUCUCUCCUUCUCUCCUCACUCAAUCCACUGAAAUUCUAGACGAAGAUCCCUUCCCUCUCGUCCUCCUCCGCCACCGCAGCCAACGAGCUAGAGUUCCAGCGAUUGCUAAAUGCUUAAAUAAGUGUUGGUAAAUUAGCAGUACUCUUUUUAGAUUAUAGCGACACUCUUUAACUGUCACUAUAUACCUAGCGACCCCACAUAUAGCAACACUUUUUAAAAGUGCUGGUAAUUUAGCCAGCAGUACUUUUUUUGACCUGCACCAACAUUUAAAAGUGUUGCUAUAGACCUUUUUUUUAUUGUAGUGUCAUCGUUGGUUCAAACAAAUACUUAUAUUCUUUUUCUUUUCUUUUCUUUUUUCUAUGUUUCCAAAUCAUUCUACUCAAAUGAUAUUUUUUUUGAGAAUUGGCUCCAAUUAAUCAAAACAAAGUGGGUCCCAAAUAAAGGCUCCAAUUAAAGAAAGGUUCUUAUUUUGUACUUAGAAACAGAAGCCGAAUUUUACUGUUGCAGGAAAAGUGUAAUUUCAUGUGAGGGCCUUUUUUUUUUUUUUUUUUUUUAAGAGUUAAUUUCAUACAACUCCCUAAAAAUAUCAAAUAACAAAUAUAUUCCUACAGAGUUUAAUUUUGCAUAUUUAUUCCUACAACCAUCUAGUGAUAUUUAUAUUUGCCUCUCUAGAUUGUCACCGUUAGAGCACUGUUUAUUUUUUAACAGAAAAUAAGUAAAAUAAUAUUUUUUUCAUCACAAAUAUGUCUCUUGAAAAGUCUCAACUGUUAAAAUUUUACCGAAAUAUUAUUCAAAAAAUCACCAAUAGUCGUCAUCUUUUUCCUUCAUGCCAUCACAAAUAAUACGAAAGAGAUAAAAAGGUCAAUUUCUUUCAUUCACUAAUUAGAAUUAAGUAUUUUACUUAUAACUAAUUAUAUUUUUCUAACGUGUCUUUCCAGUAAGGAUAUAUUUGAAAACGUUAGAAUUUUUAUAGGAAUAAAUAUAGAAAAUUAAACUUUAUAUAAGAUAUCUGUUAUUUGAUAUGUUCACUGGAAGCUAUAUGCAAUUAUUUUUUUAUUAUUACUUUUCUUAUAAUAAUACAA
rnacentral:lncRNA from 1 species